AUUGAACGCUGGCGGCAUGCCUAACACAUGCAAGUCGAACGGGGCAGCAAUGCCUAGUGGCGGACGGGUGAGGAAUACGUAGGAAUCUGCCCUUAAGUGGGGGAUAACCAGGGGAAACCCUGACUAAUACCGCAUGAUCUCUUCGGAGCAAAGAGGGGGACCGCAAGGCCUCUCGCUUCUGGAUGAGCCUACGUCUGAUUAGCUAGUUGGUAGGGUAAAGGCCUACCAAGGCGACGAUCAGUAACUGGUCUGAGAGGAUGAUCAGGCACACCGGAACUGAGACACGGUCCGGACUCCUACGGGAGGCAGCAGUGGGGAAUAUUGGACAAUGGGCGCAAGCCUGAUCCAGCAAUGCCGCGUGUGUGAAGAAGGCCUUCGGGUUGUAAAGCACCUUAGCCUGGAAAGAAAAAACUUUGGUUAACACCCAAAGUCUUGACGGUACCAGGAGAAUAAGCACCGGCUAACUCUGUGCCAGCCGCCGCGGUAAGAC
rnacentral:rRNA from 1 species